rnacentral:rRNA from 1 species
GAUGAACGCUGGCGGCGUGCCUAAUACAUGCAAGUCGAGCGAACAGACGAGGAGCUUGCUCCUCUGACGUUAGCGGCGGACGGGUGAGUAACACGUGGAUAACCUACCUAUAAGACUGGGAUAACUUCGGGAAACCGGAGCUAAUACCGGAUAAUAUAUUGAACCGCAUGGUUCAAUAGUGAAAGACGGUUUUGCUGUCACUUAUAGAUGGAUCCGCGCCGCAUUAGCUAGUUGGUAAGGUAACGGCUUACCAAGGCAACGAUGCGUAGCCGACCUGAGAGGGUGAUCGGCCACACUGGAACUGAGACACGGUCCAGACUCCUACGGGAGGCAGCAGUAGGGAAUCUUCCGCAAUGGGCGAAAGCCUGACGGAGCAACGCCGCGUGGGUGAUGAAGGUCUUCGGAUCGUAAAACUCUGUUAUUAGGGAAGAACAAAUGUGUAAGUAACUAUGCACGUCUUGACGGUACCUAAUCAGGAAGCCACGGCUAACUACGUG